GAUGAACGCUGGCGGCGUGCCUAAUACAUGCCAGUCGAGCGAACGGACGAGAAGCUUGCUUCUCUGAUGUUAGCGGCGGACGGGUGAGUAACACGUGGAUAACCUACCUAUAAGACUUAGAUAACUUCGGGAAACCGGAGCUAAGAACGGAUAAUAUUGUGAACCGCAUGGUUCAAAAGUGAAAGACGGGCUUGCUGUCACUUAUAGAUGGAUCCGCGCUGCAUUAGCUGGUUGGUAAGGUAACGGCUUACCAAGGCAACGAUGCAUAGCCGACCUGAGAGGGUGAUCGGCCACACUGGAAGUGAGACACGGUCCAGAGUCCUAGGGGAGGCAGCAGUAGGUAAUGUUCGGCAAAGGGCGAAAGCCUGAAGGAUGAACGCCGCGUGAGUGCUGCAGGUCUUCGGAUCGUAAAACUCUGUUAGUGGGGAAGAACAUAUGUGUAAGUAACUGAGCACAUCUUGACGGUAGCUAAUCAGGAAGCCCCGGCUAACUACGUG
rnacentral:rRNA from 1 species